rnacentral:rRNA from 1 species
AACGAACGCUGGCGGCAUGCCUAACACAUGCAAGUCGAACGAGACCUUCGGGUCUAGUGGCGCACGGGUGCGUAACGCGUGGGAACCUGCCCUUAGGUUCGGAAUAACUCCCCGAAAGGGGUGCUAAUACCGGAUAAUGUCUUCGGACCAAAGAUUUAUCGCCUUUGGAUGGGCCCGCGUUGGAUUCGCUAGUUGGUAGGGUAAAAGCCUACCAAGGCGACGAUCCAUAGCUGGUCUGAGAGGAUGAUCAGCCACACUGGGACUGAGACACGGCCCAGACUCCUACGGGAGGCAGCAGUGGGGAAUAUUGGACACUGGGCGAAAGCCUGAUCCAGCAAUGCCGCGUGAGUGAUGAAGGCCUUAGGGUUGUAAAGCUCUUUUACCCGGGAUGAUAAUGACAGUACCGGGAGAAUAAGCUCCGGCUAACUCCGUG